rnacentral:lncRNA from 1 species
CAGGAUUCCAUGAUCUUGUUGCCAGCCAGGUUAUUUAAAAGAGUACAGUACCAUCAAAACAGAGAUUUUUCCUAUUGUCAAAAAUAGCACGUGUCUCACAUUUCUUCCUCCACAGCUUUCUUUAUAAGGCUGGAAUAAAGCCAUGAGAGGACUUCUGAAAAUAUUCCAAACAGAAUUUCUGGUGGUCAGAGAGAAGCUGUGAUUCUCAGUGCUGGUCUGUCUUUGUUGUUCCUGUGGGAAAUGAAGAGGUCUGAGGAACUGACAGAAAGCUGAACUCAUGGGCACAACACUCCAUUGAAACCACCUGAGACAAGCAGGCUAAAGGGUCCUUCUGUGGGAUUCACAGCAUUAUCAGCAGCGGUUGUUGCGUGCAAUGGGACUGCUGGAGGAAGGAGCAGAGGAGGGAUGCGGAAGGAGUAAGGGACUGCAGAAUAAGCCAUCAAGGAAACCAGUCUUGUGAAUCAUCUCCAUCAAGCACCUUCUCUUUGAACUUUUCCCACUGCUGCCUUUGUGGCCUCAUAGUUGGAAAGCAUCUUUGCACAAAGCAGGGUGAAACUGCAGGAAUAAGGCUAAUCAAAUCAUCCAGCUCCCAAGGAAAACUGACAAACAGUUGGAGGCUGUGGUCACAGAUACAGUGAGGCUGUGUUCCCUGUUGGCAGUCAUUAGAGAAAUGGCACUGCAGGCAUUGACUUCCAGUCCUAGGCAGAUGCAGGAGUCUGAGGUGAGUGCAAAUAAGGAAGCUUAACUUCUGUUUUGGUAAUGCAGGAGUGCUAAAGAUUGACUCUCCGUGCUGGGUGUUUUAUUUUCUCCAGUGCACUAACACAGCUCUAAUUUGAAACUGCAGGAUCCCUGGUAUACUCAUCAAUAGAGUAAAAAUGUACUGAGUCUGUAUUUUUUGUGGUGCUUUAGCUAAAGCACAGUUUUCAUAUUACCAAAUUAUUCAGUGAUUUUCUUCCUCAUCAGGAAAAGAUUUUUGCUGUAUCUUAGGGGUCAGGGGCGAUCAAAGAUAUAACACUUUCCAAAGGGUAACAAAAAUAAGAGGGGUGAGGUGGCUGCAACAAGGAGGAGGAGGCAGCUGAGGGACAAAACAGAAAAAAGCAGCAGAGCGUCCUUGCCCUUCCUGUAAUACACUGAGGGGAAAGGAUCUGCUGCUAGGGGUGGUACUGCCUCCAUUGUUAUAAGAAUGGAGGCAAAGUGACCUGGACAAAACAAGUUAGCUUUUCUCUUCCAGGUGAUGGCAAUUUUUCAAGCUGUGAACACCUAAAACACAUCAACUGAAUUGAGUUUCCAGAGGAAUAUCUCACUUCACUGACCACAAAGAGUCUAUGCACGUAAACAGUACCUGAAGGUUGGUGGGAUGAAUUCCUUCCCACUUACUGCCUCG